rnacentral:rRNA from 1 species
CAGUCGCCGCGGUAAUACGUAGGUGGCAAGCGUUGUCCGGAAUUAUUGGGCGUAAAGGGCUCGCAGGCGGUUUCUUAAGUCUGAUGUGAAAGCCCCCGGCUCAACCGGGGAGGGUCAUUGGAAACUGGGAAACUUGAGUGCAGAAGAGGAGAGUGGAAUUCCACGUGUAGCGGUGAAAUGCGUAGAGAUGUGGAGGAACACCAGUGGUGAAGGCGACUCUCUGGUCUGUAACUGACGCUGAGGAGCGAAAGCGUGGGGAGCGAACAGGAUUAGAUACCCCCGUAGUCCCUGUCUCUUAUAA